GGGGUUGUGGCUCAGUGGCAGAGCACUUGCUGGCAUGUAUGAGGCCCUGGGUUUGAUGCUUAGCACCCCCA
rnacentral:tRNA from 1 species